rnacentral:lncRNA from 1 species
AGUUCUCUUGUGCCACGGUGGCCCAAAUGUCAGUCAACCAGACAUGUCUUCUGAGAGGUAAGUUUUUGAAAAAUACUAGACUUUUCUCAAAUGUAUUUCUUUACAGGAAUAAAAAGAAAGCUAAUUUUGCAUGAGCAUGCAGGAAGUCUGCAGACAGACAUUCUACAUAGUCCCUUGGGGACUCAGUAGAAGUGGAAUCAAGACCAACCCAAGCCCAACAAGGCAGCUCCGCUGGUUAAUGCCUCCCAGAUCUGUCAUCUGUGAUAAAGAGCCUCGCUGUAGCUGAGGAGCUGGCCAAGAACCUUUCCCAGUUAGCCAAGUUCGUAAGUACAGCGGCAGCUCACGUAUCCCCCCCACCCCCUAUAUUUUCAGUAUAUUAGUGUGGGCAGCAUGUAUUUGGAGCUCCUGAAUAUAAUAUAUAAUAUAAUAUAGGUCAGAGAGCACUCUGUUCUUUUUAUAGGACUACUCAUUAUUUCUGUCUCUACAUAUUUGGGCUUACCCAUGUCCGGGAAGGAUUGAUUCUAUCUGAGUUGGUGGCACUUCUUCUCUAACCCACAGGUCUUCCUUUAUCUUGUGGUGAUUUCACUACACCAGGAUGUCUCUAAUCCUUUUCUGCCUCUGCUCUAAGCCUUUUCAGUCUCAAAACCUUCAGCUCUUUAGUGUUGUAGGCACAGCCUUCCUUCACACUGCCUCCUUUUCCUUUCACUGAGCUUUCUCAUGCUCCCUAGCAGCAUAUGACCGGGCCAGAAACAUUUGCGUUCAAUAAAGUAAUUCCAAAAUAAUUCUAAGCAAGAGACAUCAUGCCCUUGGAGAAGGUGGCUUCAGUAGUGAGGGUGUGGGUCAUAGGCUUGCUGAGGGUUCAUCAAUUCUGCAGUUGAUACUCUAUACUAGUGUAAUGGUUUGAAUAUGCUUGGCCCAGAGAGUGGCACUAUUAGGAGGUGUGGCCUUUAGGAAGUGUGGCCUUGUUGGUGUAGGUGUGGCCUUAUUGAAGGAAGUGUGUCAUUGUGGGCUUUAAGACCCUCAUCCUAGCUUCCUGGAAGCCAAUCUUCUAGCUGCCUUUGGAACAAGAGAUUAUAUAUAACUCUCAACUCCUCCAGCCCCAUGCCUGCCUGGAUGCUGCCAUGCUCCAACCUUGAUGAUAAUGGACUGAAUCUCUGAACCUGUAAGCCAGCCUCAAUUAAAUAUUGUCCUUAUAAGA